UCUACUUUUGCGAGUCGCGGGGAAGGGAACUGUUUAGCUGAUUUGAUCUGUGGCUCGCGGAGCACAGCCAUGGCGAGCAACUCCAACAACAACCUAUCAGCGCCGUCGCGGCCUUACAGACACCUCAAAACCCUGGUGGGGCACCACCGUGCCGUGUCGUGCGUGAAGUUCUCCAACGACGGGAUGUUGAUUGCCUCCGCUUCCCUCGACAAAACCCUAAUCCUGUGGUCCUCGGAAACCCUAGCCCAAAUCUCCCGCCUCGUCGGCCACACCGAGGGUGUCUCCGACCUCGCCUGGUCCUCAGACUCUCACUACAUUUGCUCCGCCUCCGACGACCGGACCAUCCGGAUCUGGGAUGCACGGGCCGCAGAGUGCGUCAAGACGCUUCGCGGCCACACCGACUUCGUUUUCUGUGUCAACUUCAACCUCCAAUCCAACCUCAUUGUCUCCGGCUCGUUCGACGAGACAGUUAGGGUUUGGGACGUCAAGACUGGCCGCUCCGUCCAUGUUAUUUCCGCUCACUCGAUGCCGGUCACCUCUGUCCACUUCAACCGCGACGGCUCGCUUAUCAUCUCCACCAGUCACGAUGGCUCUUGCAAGAUCUGGGACACCGCUACUGGUUCCCUCUUGAUGACGCUCAUUGACGAUAAGGCUCCCGCCGUGAGCUUCGCCAAGUUCUCGCCUAACGGCAAGUUCAUACUCGUGGCGACUCUCGACGACACUCUCAGGCUUUGGAACUUCACGACUGGAAAGUUCUCGAAAAUAUAUACUGGUCAUGUGAACCAUGUCUACUGUAUAACAUCCACAUUUUCAGUGACAGGUGAAAAAUACAUUGUCAGCGGCUCAGAGGAUAAUUGUGUUUAUUUGUGGGAUCUGCAAGGGCGAAGCAUGGUUCAAAAACUUGAAGGGCACUCCGAUACUGUUAUUUCAGUAUCAUGCCACCCUAAAGAGAACAAGAUUGCGUCUGCUGGCCUUGAAGGAGAUAAAACAAUAAGGAUUUGGAUUCAGGAUACUUAGGUUCUGAAAGCAAAUGUUCUAUUAAUUCCAUUCAGAAUUAGUGUUCCAGUUAUGAAGAAAUCUGAAGCUGUGACCAUUCAGAGUUGUACUCAGAAGACUCAACAAGUAAUGUUGGAAUAUUGGAGACAGCAGCGUGAGAUUUGUUCCUUCCCACUGCACGGUGUGAGAGCGCAUUUCCUCUAGAUGCAAGUUCUCUGUAGAAGUUUUUAUGUCACUAGUAAUUACUGAUUUAAGUACUAAUUUCCUCUCUCGAGAUGCAAAUGCUGCCAAUUUUGAUACCAUACUCAGCGUCCUUCCUGUGGCCAGCACAUGCUAUUCCACCAAUUUUAAUGAUAGAUUGGUUGGCUACAUAAAUUUUAGCUUUUCAGCCAUUUCUUCCUGUGGCCAUCACAUGCUUAUUCCACCAAUUUUAAUGAUAGAUUGGUUGGCUACAUAAAUUUUAGCUUUUCAGCCAUUUCUUCCUGUGGCCAUCACAUGCUUUUUCCACCAAUUUUAAUGAUAGAUUGGUUGGCUACAUAAAUUUUAGCCAUUUUUAUCCGUGGAUGCAUCUCUUGUAAGGGCAUUGUUACCCUAUGUUAUGUUUGAGGCUUCUCUUCUUUAAUGUUCUUCUACCUUGUUAGAAAAUCGUUGCCAUUGAGAAAUGUGUGAAUAGGGUUUCACAUCAUAGAUUUGUGAACAUUUGAGGUGUCCUCCAAUCUGGUAACUAUUUUGGAGGAUUAGAAGUUAAAAUAUUGACAGAAUUUGGAUAUUACCUACCUUGAUGCUCAAAGGAUGUG